UUCAAAUGCCAGGUCAUUUUGUUGUAUGGAAUUGUAAGAAGACAUCUCGAGAAGAUGGUUAAACCUUUUUGCAACACCAGCAUGGAGCUGACGGCAGAGAGGCUACUGGAGAGGAGGUGAAGUGGUACGAGCUCCUGAUGCCGCUCCUCCAACCAGAGAUGCAGAUGGACGUCCUGGACAACUAUCAAAAUCAUUCACCACCAUCUCUACAAGCAGUACAUGAACCGUCAGUGAACAGUCUCUGAGUGGCCUGUCCAUCAUCCGCAUGCUCCCACUCCACCAGCGCAGUCACCAAACUCUGUGGAAACCAAUAUUUACCGCUCACUUAUUGGCCGAAAAAGCAGAGGCGCGUAUCCUGCGCUCAACUCCCUCCUCGUGUAUCGUCGUAGUGGCCAACCCUUGGACGUCCGUCUCCCCGCCAGUCGCAGCGUUGCUCCACUCGCCGACGCCAUCUGACUCUUCUUUGCUGGCUGCGGGGACUCAUGGCUUGGACUGGUGGCCGUCCCUCUGGUUCUUUGUGUUUGGGCCGCUGUUUUAGUGACCCUCUGCCAGGUCCACCUCCCUUUGUUUUUUGGGGUGGUGUGUUCCUUUCAUGAUCCCACAAGACAGUUUGGAAAUUAUGUUUACUGUAUUUUGUAUUAUUUUCUACCCAGCGCAAAGCAGGGACAGUUCUGCAUCAUUGGCAUUUGUGCAUUUUACUUUUUUAACUGUCUCUUUUUUGCAACUCCA